AUUAUGCGGGAAAUCCUCCACCGCAUCGAAGGCAGCUUGAUGCGGCGAAAUUGAAAGGAAGCGCCCCCGGAGGUAGGGCGCUGUCCCGUUC
rnacentral:sRNA from 1 species